rnacentral:tRNA from 1 species
GGGGACAUGGCGGAAUCGGUAGACGCAGCGGCCUUAAAAGCCGCCGGCCGCAAGGCCAUCCGGGUUCAAUUCCCGGUGUCCCCACCA